rnacentral:rRNA from 1 species
UACGGAGGGAGCAAGCGUUACUCGGAAUUAUUGGGCGUAAAGGGCGCGUAGGCGAUCUGACAAGUCUGGUGUGAAAGCCCACAUGUUAACUGUAGAAGUGCAUUAGAAACUGUUGGAUUUGAGUUCAGGAGAGGAAGGCAGAAUUCCCGGUGUAGCGGUGAAAUGCGUAGAGAUGGGGGAGAACACUCGUGGCGAAGGCGGCCAGCUGGACCAGUUCUGACGCUGAGACGCGAAAGCGUGGGGAGCAAACAGG